CAACGCUCAGGGGAAAAUGAGGCCUCACCUUAAUUGGGCCAGUUCUGAGACGGAAUCUAACAGUCACUCAGGAAAUGGCUGAACCAUAAGGAUUGAGAGUAUUACUUUUCUUGGCUGGGAAGCACCACAGGCAGCAUCUCAAAACAGUUUGGCAGCAUGAGAAAUCAUUCCAGAGUCUCUGCAAAAUCGCACUCAAGGGAGUAUGAGAAGCAUAAAUAUUUUCGAGAAAAAUAAUUAUGAGUUCAAGCCACCAAGUUGCAGAUGCUACCAUGACACCAUCCCUGAGCAGAUGACCUCACCAAAGUGUCCUGGAACCUCACCUCCCCAGAGCCCAGUCUCACUAGGGAAAGACAGAAACGGGCUGGGGGUGUAGAUCCACCUGCCAACACCCAUGUCCAGCAGAGAAGCAAUUAUAGAAGCCAGACCUCCCACCUUCUGCACCCCAUAAAGAUCUUUGACCCAUGAUCCCAGAGGGUUAAAGAAUAGGGACGCUUCCAAUGGAGGGGAUGGAUCAUAAGACUCUGCUGGUGGGAAUUUCGUGGAAUUGUACCCCUCUUACUCCACAAUCUUUUUUAUCAUUAUUAAAUCACUAGUAAAAAAGAAAUUUGAGAUUAUGC